rnacentral:lncRNA from 1 species
CUAACUAAAACCUACUGUUGAGAAAAUUCCACUGGCUAUUCCUUUGAAUUCUUGAGGAUCUUGGGUGUGGUAUUUGCAUCUGCCCUUCUCACUGAGAACCAAAGUACUUGUUUCACCUAGACUGCUUGGACAGUUACGAUCAUAUGGUUUCGGCUAAGAGGAUGAACUUGGCAUCCCUUGACCACAUGUGGGUGCAAUAUUGAAAUCUGAGCCAAUUUCUGGUGUAUCACUCAGCUUUCUCUUUUUCUAGUCCCUGGGAAUUUCCAAAUUGAGCUGCAACACAUGGUGAGAUUUCGUAAAUGUAUUACAUUCCAAAUAAUGCAUCCAAAUAUAUUGCAUUUCAAACAGUGACAAAUGUAAGUAGACAACAAAAUCACUUAAAGAAUGCAAUAAAAGAGACCUAAAAAAUCAUUCAAGUCAAUUAUAUUCCAAUAUUAUUUUCUGUUCACUGGUGCUUAAAAGGUCCUUUGACUUCUACAUACACUAGUCUGUAGAGGUAAUGAUAAUUUUUAGAAUUCCAGUAACAAUAUCUUAGGUAUUUCUUCAGAUAAACUCUUUUCCUCCUUGGUAGUCUCAAUUUUUUGAACAUUUGAAUCUAAAAAUGGAAGCAGUUUAGCAUCUAGUUCCUCUUCAAAUAAACUCUUUUUAGGUGUCCACCUACGAGAAGCUCCCCUACUAUUUAACCUUUUUAAUUACGUUUAUAAUAUAAACAUAUCUUUUAAUAUUUUUAAACCCAUCUAUGGAGUUAAAUGUUGAUAUUUCUUUAUAGCAAUGUCUGGUCCUUCUAGGUACUUCUCUAUAACUUACAUUCUAUUAAUCGCUACAUCAUAUAUCUAGUCUUUCUAGGUACUUCUCCCUAACUUAUAUUUUAUUGAUGACUGCAUCAUAUUUUAUAGUUGUUGCUAACUUUUAGUAAUUUGAAGUCAACAGAAAAAAACGAUAACUUUGUUUGAAAUUAUUGCGUAUCAUCCAAAAAAAAAAUUGUUUUUUGCUAUUGAUAGGCUACUAAGCUUUAACUAUUUAAGUAUACCAAUGCAAAAGAAGUUACAUCCCAUGAUAAAUCUUAAUCUGGAUAUUUGUUCUCCUUGACAUAUAUGCUUUCUCAAAUUGUAGCUAACAAACUAAAAAACAAACAAAUAACUAAAAACAAUGGAAAAGAGAGCCUAGAGAUGGUGGUUUGGCUUUGAAUUGUUGUUUUGCAAUGUGUCAGAAAGCCUAUAUGAGGCCAUUUUUAGAUAUCUUAAUAGCCUAAAUUACUGCACAAUUUGCAUCUAAAUGAUCGUUUGUUUUAAUAUUAACACAUGAAGUCUUUCACCAGUGGUCCCUCUCAUCAAUGGUAACUUUGAUGCCUCAUCAAAGAACAAGAAAUCAACACUGUUCCACUAAAGUAUCAUGAUUAGUUCUUCCUUCAACACUUCAUUGAAAUUUAUCUUAGUAGAAAACCAAAACCAACAGCAAUUCUCAUCAGGUUGAGAAUUUGAAGAACACAACUUGAUAUUUAAGAAUUAAAUAUCUUUAAGUCAUCUUUAAUAGUCUUCUAGAAGAGUAGAUAUUAAGAACAUCAGUAGAAAGCAUUGUACGGUUUUCAAACUUCUAUUUCCUCACGAAAUACUUGUCUUUGGAACUAACAUGAAAUUCAACUCCUUUAUUCUUCUUCUCGUUCUCCCUAUAAUAACUUUUUACUUAGUUUUACAUAAUAUAUAACCAAUAAAUUUAGAUUUUGAAGACAAUAAUAGCUAAAAUCACUAGAUAGAUUGGGGAUACAAUUAGUAAAGUAAUUUAUAGAAAGUUUCAACUAAAAGAUGACUUUAAUAGGGACUAAUGUGGUGGGUUAUUUUUGGAAAUGGGCUAUCUACCCCAAUAGGAGAAAAAGUUACAAUUGAGACCCUUAGGUUAGAGUCCUUAAAGAAAGAAAGACAAACUGUCCUUAGGUUAAAGACCAACAACAUACCUUAAGAAGAACCUUGUUGGUAUUAAAUAAUUGGGGGCAUAAACAUAUGUUUGUAAGUGAAAGUUCCUAAAUUUUAGCAAAUUCAAUUGAAUACAAAUAAAAGUACAUCAAAGCUGGUAUUGCUUGUUGUGUUAUAUGGAUGAUCAUGUAGCUAAUGACAUAUUAGUGAGUUGUGUGCUUAUUACCAACUACGUAUUAUGAUCCCUUGUAUUUUUGUUUAAAUUUUACAAUAACAUCUUCUACUAUAAAAUUUUUAUAUAGUUUUAAUUAUAGCAAAGAGUCUUCUACUUCAUUAAGUAAUUCUAAGAUUAAUUCUUGUUCUCUAGAGAUAAAAUUUAUUAUUUUAGGUUGACAAUCAUAUUUACCUUUGAUGCACUUUUCUUGAUCACUAGAGAUUUGACUUACACUUUCAUUAGUAUCUUCAAGAUGGUUAAUAUGGUCUUCAUUAUUUGAUUUAGUCAUGGAUUCAGAUUUUGAGAUGUUUAGCAUUGAAUCACAUAACAUAUUUUUUACUUGAUCUAAAGCAUUCAAUCAUUAAUUCCUUUUUUUAAUUUUACAAUCUUUCUUAAAAUGUCUAACUUUCCCACAUUUAUAGCAUAUUGGAUUUGAGUGUGACGAAGUUUCUAUUUUCUUAUGAGGUUCUUCUAUGGAUUUUCUUAUGUUAUGCCUUAGUCUUUUAGUUUUUUUUUUUUCUAUAUUCCAUGUGUUCCUUUUUUGUUAUGGAAAGCUUUUUUCCUUGGUUUCCUAAUUAUUUGUCCCUCCUUACAUUACUUAGAUGGAGAUUUUUGCUAAAUCCAAACUAACAACAAAAUGUUCCAAAUUCAUUCCUAUAAAUAUUUCAUUCAGAUUUCAUUUGUUGGUUAAGCUUAAAAUCAUUACAUAAGUUAAUUCCUUCUAUAGUGCUAAUAUUUAUAAUUUCUCCAUAUAUUCAAUUACCAUAAGGGAUUUGACCAUUAAAUUAUUCUUUAAUCUUAAUCCUAACAUUUUUGAGAAAAGUCUUAAGUAAUUUUGAGAAAAAAAUUUCUUUCCAAAAGAUUGAUUAUUGUUUGAUCUUAACAUAACUUUCAUUAAAAAACAUGUCUUUCUACCAUCUAAAAUCUUGAAGUUUGGGACACUUAUGGUUGGUUAACAAAUUCACUAUUUUAUCUUUGAUCUUGGAUGGAUUUCUUAUGAAAUGUUUAGAGAUAGAGAAAAUUGGAGUAGUAGUUGCAUCCUCUAUAGCUUCUCCUUCUUCAUUCUUGACUACUCUAUUUUUUGAGUUAGUUUUGUAGGCACUUAUGAUAAAAAUCCUAUCUCUAUCUUCUAGUUAUGAGUUCGUUGAACUAUCCUUUUCAAUAGAUAAUAUAGUUAAUCCAUCUAAAAUUUCUUUUGACAUGGUAGAUCAUAAAUAAGAUUUUAUUUAUUUUAGUUUCAAAUAACUUAUUUAUGCAAAAGCAACCAUCACAUGUAUAUUUAAUAAUAUUCUAUACACAACACAUGCAUUUGACAAAUACAUGAAUUUGGAAGAGAAUUUAAUUUCUUUAUAUUAUUUAGUAUUGAAAUUGUAUUAUGCAUUCGUACUUGCAAAACCUUCUUUAAAACAUUUAACUCUGAAAAUAAAUUUAAACCAUCAAUAUGAGAUAGCUCAUCAUGUUACAUGAUCUAUUAAAUCUUGUUUAUUAUUACUGGAAUAUUCACUUAUUGUUGUUUUUCGUAAUUCAAUUAAUGUAUAUAUUUUCUCUUUUCUUUUUAGUUUUUCAUAUAUCAAUUUAUAUUUUCAAGCAAACAUAUUAUUAUUAUUUUUUUUAAAAAAAUACAAUAACAUAACACAACAAAACGUUACAAUGAAGCAUACAAUUUGGCACCACAAAUGAAAAUAAAUUAUAAACAAAAUUGAAAUAUUAAAUAAAUCAAAAUAUAAAAUUAGAACAAUAUAACUUAAUUUGGAGGAAUAUUUUAUUGUGCUUGAACUUUGCUUAAUAUGAACUUGAUAGAAAUUGAUUCCUUAUAUUUAGUACAAAGCAAGUAGAGACCUACUCCAAUAGUCUACUAGGAUAUAUUCAUGUAAAGGAGUCUCUUGUUAUCAUAAAGGAAACAUCUUAUAGUUUUCUUACGAAUUGAUAUGUUUGAUAAUUAUACAAUUAGUUUCCUAUAUGAAAUCUUUCUUUCUCUUUGUCUCUCUCUCUCUUUCUCUCUCUCUCUCUCUCUCUCUCUCUCUCUCUCUCUCUCUAUAUAUAUAUAUAUAUAUAUAUAUAUAGAUAGAUAGAUAUAUAUAAGUAAAGAGAAAGUAAGAGAGAGAUUUCAGUUGAGUGAUCUCUCUUUAGAUGUACUUGAGACUUAUGAUUUUAGAUUUCUAGGGUUGUAAUCUCCUUCAACAAUAGUAGAAGUUCUUCUUUGUUUUUGUUCGUGGAUGCAAGUUUUAGGCCUAACCAUGUAAAUUGGCGUGUGCUUUGUGUGUUUUUUAUUUUUGUUUUCUUAUUUUCUUCUCCCUAUUAUUAUUUUUCAUUAUUGUUUUUCAUAACAAACCGAUAUCAAAGCUUAGGUUAUUAGACCUAGUAUGGUAACAAAGUUUGAGGUUGAGAAGUGUGAUGAAAGAAAUGAUGUUUAAUUAUAACACAUUAAGAUAUAGGACAUGUUGGUUCAACAAGGGUUAUCCAAAGCAAUGAAAGGUAGAAAUGCUUUACCAACAAGGAUGUUUGAUGAAGAAAUGGAUGAACUUAUGGAGAAAGGGUGUAGUGCUACUUUAAUGUACUUGGUAAUGAGGUAUUUCGUGAGAGGCUACAAAAGAGGAUAUGAUUGCCAAGUUAUGAUUGAAGCUAAAAAGUCUAUAUAUGACAAAGUCUUUUACAAAUCAUUUCUAUUAGAAGAAACAAUUCUUCACGUUGUAGAUGAAAAUGGGUACAUCUUUUAAAGAUGGACCACCUUGAUGAGUUUCAUAAAACUAUUAUGAAGUUAAAGAUUAUUGAUUUUUGAAUUAAUGAUGAAGACCAGAUCUUAAUUUUGAUACAUUCUCCAAUGAAUUCCCAUGACCACUUUAUGGAUAUCAUGAUGUAUGGCAUAGAUAAUCUCUCUAUAGAGGAUGUUAGGGCAAUGGUGAGCUCAAAGGAGUUGGAAAAGAGAGCAUAUGAGAGUAGAGAAGAAAGCUAAAGUGAAGUUUUUAAUGUUAGAGGUAGAACAAAACAAAUAAUAACAAUGAUAAGAAAGGUUGAUCUAGAUCGAAAUCAAAGUCCAAGGGAAACAACAAGUAUUUCAAUUACCACAAAGAAGAACAUUAUAUGAGAAAUUGUGCAAAACAUAAAGAAAAAGAAAACGACAAAGCUUCUAAUUUUGGUGAUGCAAUAGUUGUAGAAGAAAAUCCAUAUACUAUAAAUAUCCUUUCAGUUAUUGUUGGUAACUUAGGUGAUGAGUGGAUCCUUGAUUCAAGGUGCUCCUAUCAUAUGUCUCCCAAUAAGGAUUAGUUUAGUACCUAUAAACUUAUAAAUGGAAAGAAGUUUUCAUAGGAAACCAUGUAGCUUGUAAGGUUGUUGGAAUUGGCAUAAUUCAAAUUUUGAUGCUUGAUGACAUUGUAAGGACAUUAACCGAUAGAAGCAUGUUCUAGAUUUGAAGAAAUUUUUUUGUUUCUUUAGGGACACUUAACUCCAAUGGAUGAACUAUAAUGAUGGAGGCGUAAUUGUGAGAAUUUACAAUUUCAAAUGGAGUUCUUGAUGUGAUGAAUAGAGAGAGAAAAAAAACCUAAUAUCUUUAUACAUUAUAAAUAGCAUUGUUACAAGUGUAACUAUAGUUUCAAUCUUAAAAUUAACUUGAGAGACUAUGAAAAUAUAGAAUAUAUGGUUUAGGCAUAUGAGUGAGAGGGUUGAAAAUUUUGAGUAAAUGAGGUUUGCUUGGUGGGCAUAAAAGGGGAGAACUUGAUUUUUGUGAGAAUUAUGUUUAUGGGAAGCAAUGCAAGUUUAAAUUUAGCGUAGCUAUUCAUGAGACUAAAGUUACUUUGAAUUACAUUCAUUUAGAUCUUAGGGCCCUUUUCAAUUUGUAUCACAUGGUGGUUGAAGAUAUAUGUUGGUCUUCAUUGAUGAUUACAACAUAAGAAUGACGUCUUCAAGAAGUUUAAGUAAUAAAAAGUUAUCAUUGAGAAAACAGACAACAAAAAAGAUCAAGCGCUUGAGAAUUGACAAUGAAAUGGUAAGGGAAAAAGUCCAAUGAGUUUGCAAGAAUGAAGGUAUUGUGAUACAUUACAAAAUCAAACAUACUCCAUAAUAAAAUGAUGUUGCAUAAUGGAUGAAUAGAACUCUUCUAGAGAGAGCAUGUUUUGAAUGACUUUCAAGUUAAAGUAGCUAAUUCAACUUAUUAUCUUCUUAAUACGUCUCCUUUAAUUUCUAUUAAUUAUAGAACUUUUGAAGAGAUAUGGUUUAGUUCUUCUACUAAUUUUGAAAAGUUCAAAAUUUUUUAUUGUCCUUCUUAUGAUCAUGUAAAUAAAGGUAAAUUAGAUCCAAGAACUCGGAAGUGUAUAUUUUUAGGAUAUGAAAUAGAGUAAACGGGUACAAGUUGUGGUGCUUUAAUUCAAAAUCUUCCAAAUUUUUUAUUACUAUGGAUGUGACCUUUGUAAGUCUAUAAUAUUGAAACUUAAGAAUGAGCAAUUUGAUAAACAAAAGAAUCUUAGUGGGAGAGAAAAGUUGAGUUUGAGUCUAGAGCUUUAGGAACUAUAGAAAACAUGUUUUAGUAAAUCAAGAUAAAGAAGAGCUACAACAUCUUGACAAUAAAGAAAAUGCAUCAUAAGAGAAACAACACACUUUGCCUAGUGAUUGAAAAAGGAGGCAAAUUAAACCACAUAAGAUGCAUGGUUAUACAAAUUGGGUGUCUCAUGCACUUACUAUGUCAGAAUGAGGAGUCUCAUGCUUAUCAUGAAGCCAUCAUUGGUAGAGAGUCUGCAAAGUGAAUCAUCACUAUGAAUGAGAAGAUUAGAUAUCUUUAAAAGAACCAUACUUGGCAACUAGUUGAGAAGCCUAAGGAGCAAAAGGUUGUUGGGUUGCAAGUGGGCCAUUAAGGAAAGGAAUUUCAAGGAUGGAGGAUGCUCGAUGACAAAGGGAUACACAUAAAAGGCCAAUGUGGACAUCAAUGAAGUGUUUUCUUUAGUUGGGAAACAUAACUUAAUCAAGGUGUUAAUUUCUAUUACUACUUUAUUUGAUUUAUAAACAAAGUACUUUUGUGUUAAGACUACUUUUCGACAUGAUGAUUUCGAAGAGCAUAUUUAUAUGCAUUAAUUUGAGGGAUUUAUUAUUGGGAAACGAAGGUCAUGCUUAUUUUUUGAAGAAAAACUCUUUAUCUCUUAAAGCAAUCUCCUAGGCAAUGGUAUAAAAGGUUUCGUACUUUUAUGAUUGGUAAUGACUAGUGUAGAAGUGGGUGGGAUAAAGGUUUUCAUCGAAUUGUCUAAUGGUUUAUUUAUUUAUUGUAAUAUGUUGAUGACAUGUUAAUUGUCGACAAGAAUAUGUCUGAGAUCAAAAGGCUAAAAACUUAAUUUGAUUGCAAAUAACAUUGAAAUCAAUAAUUCAAUAAAUUUAUCCUCCAAUGGGACAUUUACUCAUUGAGUUCAACAGAAUAAUUUUACUUUGGUUAUAUCUCUUUUGCUUUUGAAUGGUUACAUGGUCUACUUAAACUUAAUUGGAUUUUCUACUUAAUUGUAUGUGAAAAAGGUGCAUGAUUUGAUCUCAUUCUCAUUAAUUUUUACUUAAUUAUUUAUUAUUACAGUUCCAACAUGUUUGGAGACCUAUUUUCAUGUUAGUUCAUGUGUGUUUGGUUGUUUUAUUUCAUUGUAGGUUUCUUGGAUGAAUUUUUUCAUGGUUAUGCAUUACAAAAGAUGUUUUGGGUGCUCAAAGGAGUAUGGGAAGUUGAAUGAACAUUUUGGAUGCUUAAGCCCUCAAAGUUGCAUGAAGCCAUCCUUGAGGACUCAAGUGCUCUUAGUUCCAUCCAUCUCCCUUUCUCAGGCUUGAAGCAUUGAAGCGCCAAUCUAGAUAAUUAAGCAUUGCAUUGAGCUCUCCCACAUGUUCUUUUACCAUAAAUAGCUCUUUCUCAUGUCAUUUUCACCAUUUCAUACAUUUUAAAGGGUUCGAGUGGCCAAGUUCAUGUGUUAUCUUCAUUGUUGCUCAUCUCUAUGUUCCAAUUUCAAAGAAUUAUUAGUCUUGGGGGUUCCUAAGUACUUUGACUAGUUUACUUUUUCAUUGCCUAAGACUUGCUUGGUAUGUCCUAGUGUACCUACUAGUGUUGGGUCCCUCAUACCCAUCAUCUUCUAGUUUUGUAUCUAAGCUUAGUUCCCCAAUUGAGGGGACCAUUUAAGGUUGAUAACCCUUUUUUAAUUCUUUUUCCUUGAUUUUGAGCAUAAAGAGCUACAAUAUGUUUGUUUUCAUGAUUAUUGAGUCGUGGUUGCAUGAGAGCCCUCAUUAGUAUCCUUAAGAUAUAUUGUGGUCCCAUAGAUUUUUCAGGAUUAUCAUUCGAAUUCUCUAUAUUCACAUUCUAUGGUCACGUAUUCCCAUUAUGUUUGGAUAUUCUAUUUAAACAUUCAUUUUGUUUGCCCAUGCAUCUUUUUUCCUUCCAUGAUAGAUUAUUCUGAUCUUACCUUACUCCAUUAAUCAAGCUUUACAUGUGCAACCUUUCACAGAGGUCAUUCUUCAUUUGUUGGAUGAGGUUAAUUUAGAGUUAGAAUUAGUUAGCGCUAGCUUGCUAACCUAUUUAGGGGGGCACAAGAGCUUCCUAUGUUUUCCUUAAUUGAACUCAUUAGAUUCCCUAGUUUGUAGUUCAUUUUAUCCAUUCUAUUCUUAGUGGCCAACCUACUGAUAUAGCUACUAUGAUGAUAGAUAUUAGGGUUAGCUAUCGAAAGUCAACUCAACCUAGAAGUUUACAAUUUGCACUCAUCAUUUCCCAUAUAUUGGUGGAUAUUGUGUUUGACAUCUAUGUGACUUCUAGGUGCUUGACUAUUAUGCUCCAUUGAUGAGAGUUCCUAAUCCAAGCAUGUGAGUCAUACCCUUAACUGUGAUUAGUGCUUUGACUAUUGAUGAGGUAGAUGUGAUUGAUGAGUUGGAACUGAGUUAUAAGACCUCACACUCAUGGCUUGGGAGUCAAGGUCAUCAUGCAAGCAAUUCUAAAGCUAUAAUAGGGUUAUCCCAGCCUGUGGAUGGAUUCUCUAAUUUGGGUUUUAACAUCAUUGAUCAACUUCACCUUUAUGUUGAUUGUAUUAAUUGACUUUGUGGCCAUCUUAACUCAUAGAUUAAUGAGAUUUAUGAUUCAUCUCAGGAUGUGGACGACCAACUAGCAUCUACUUUAGCGUAGAUCAUGUUUUCUCUUGGCUCAAGCUUUAGUUUUCUACCACCACCUUCAAACAACUCUAGCAAGAUUUUUUAGAAUGAUUAACUCUAUGGUUAGGAUUUUUGGAUGUAUGAUAGACUUAUUUAUAGAAUUUCUUAUGAUGAUAUUUUGAGCUCAUUAUCUGUCUAUAUAUUUGCAUUCAUCUUUUGAUUAUCAUUGUGUUAUCAUUUAUCAAUAACUUUUGUGAUAGAAGUAUGCGUCACUAUUUUUAGUUCAAGAUAUUUGAUCAUUGGAUUAGUUUGUUAUAUUUGGUUGAUUCUAAUUGCAUUAUGAUAUUGUUUGUUUUUCUUUCCACACAUUACUUUUCAUAGAUAUUAAUGUUUUAGUGUGUGCAAAUCACAGGUUCCAUAGCUCAUGAAUUUUCCAAAUGGGUUGCAAAUAUUUCAUAUUAGUGAUUACAAUGUUUGUUUGAGGUAUAAGUGAUAUUGAGUGAUUUUUAUAAUCAACCUAGAUUAAACAUGUAAGUAUAGUUAAGUUCAUUGAGGAUAAUGACAUAAAAGUUAUAAAUUGGAUUCUUAUAGAAAUAAAAAAUAUAAUUGUUUUGCACACAAAUAUUAAAUUGGAUGUUAUGUUAUAUAAAAAAAAGAAAUUGAAAAAAAAAAAUAGUGAGAGUGCUUAAGCACCCUCAAAGGCUACUAAAGCACUCCUAGUACUGAAGCACCAUUCUAAGGUGUUCAAGUACUGCUUGAGAUCAAUUUUACUCGGUUUUGAGGAUUUGUUGAUGUUUUAAUUCUAAUUUUUGUAAAAAUUGAUUUCUAAAUAUUUACAAGUGCACUAGGGCUUACACAAUAUAUGUGUGUGUGCUUGUGUAUGUGUGUAUAUAUAUAUAUACCUAAUAUUGAUCAAUUUUUCUCUUUAGGUGUCUAUGAUUUAGGUUAGAAUUCCUUGCCUUUAACUUGAUACUGUCAAAUUGUUUCAACAUUGUUUGUUUUUUUAUAUUGUGGUAAAAAGAUCACAUUCCCUUAAAGUGUUAAAGAACCCACUAAGGAACACAAAAAUGUUAUGGACAUGAGAGUAGGUGUGUGUAUUAUAGUAAGUAUCAAGGAGUAACAACUACUAUGUGUACCUAUUUCUUAACAUAUAGUUAGUGGAUUUUAGCUUUGUAGUCUAUGACCCCAUGGUCUUUACAUUUACAAAGUUUCUAAGGGCCUUUGUGGGUUGUUUUCCACAUAAAUCUCAUUUCCUCUUGUGUGAUUGAUUGUCCUUUGCUUUCAUUGAUUAAUUAUAUCUUAAUAAAAUAAGUAAACAAAUAAUAAUUAAUAUUUUUUGUGCGAUUAUAUAAAGAAUUCCCUAUUCAUCCCUACCCUAUCUCCCCAUCUAAGAAAUUCUUGCAAUGCUAUUGCAAUUCAUUUUUGCUAAUUUUCCUUUUUGUCAUUAUCAUGAUUAGUUACUUUGAGCACUCAUGGUUCACCCACCACAUUAAUUUUCAUGGUUGUUAUUCAUCACCAUCACUAUUCAUUAAGUAUAAGACCUUAUAUCAAGUAUAGGAUAGAACCAUGUUAUAGUAGUACUAACAAAAAUUGCAUGAUGAGUAAGCAAAACUAGGUAGUAAGCAAAAGAUUUAAUUAGGUAUGAAUAAAAAACUCAUAUAUUAACUAUCAAAAAAUAAUAAAAAAUAAAAAUAAAACAUCUUAAUCAAAUCUUUAGAAUAGAGUAAAACCUCCUUUAUAAAUGGUCAAAACUACUAUAUAUCUAAUUUAUACUAUUGCAUUUCGUAUCAUAUUAAUUAGAACAAAGUGGAAGAUUUCUCUUGUCAUUGUUUGAAUCCGUAACACAAAGGAAAAUUUUCCUUUUAAAUUUUUUUGCUUCAAAAGCACUAAAUUCUUAAUUUGUUGUCAAUUUAUCUUCUAAUAUUCAAGUCUUAGAAUAUGCAAUACCAUUGUUCAUGUAUUAAUACCAUUGAAGAAUAGUUCUUGCAAAUAUAUUGUUUUCAUCACCUUAUCAUAAAAAUAAAAAUAAAAACAAAAAAAAAAAGUGAAAAAUACCAUGAGGAGAAAUAAUUUACACAAAGCAAAAAGAAAAAAAAAAUACAAGAACUUAUGGUCUUACAUAUAACCAUAACUAUAGUGACAACUUGCUCCCCAUGAAUACAAAGGCAAAUAAAAACCUCCCUAAACUAUUUUUUUUUUUAUCCUUUUGGCAAACUUUGAUUUAGAAAAGAUAAUUACAAUAUAAUUUAUUAUUAGUUAAGUCACUUUGUUGAUAUCCCUUUACUAAAAAAACUAAGUCAAAAAGAAAAAAAAAAUUACUCCUAUAGUAUUAAAAACCUAAACUCAAGUAAGAGACCUGCUUCAAAAUAUAAUAAAUUUAAUCAGUAAGUGAGUUUUAUGUGCAUCACUAUGUGAAAUUAGAUAGAAAUAGAAUUUAUCAAUUGUAAUUAAUAUAUUUUGGUAACAUACACUCUUUUUUAGUUAGAAGAAAGAUGAAAUCCAAUUAUAUUUAAUAAAGCAAUAAAACAAUAACUUCUAUAUCUAUAUAGUUUAACCAUCAUAAAAUGGUCAAUAUACUCAUAUGUUGUUUCCAUGAUAGUUUACCUAUUUUUAAUUUACACUCGUACAUUUGUAUGUUGAAGUUUAUUCACAAUAACAAAACAUAAAGAUAGUUUUACAAAGAUAAAAGAUAUUUAAACUUAAUGAACUUUUUUUUCAAUUGUUUUUGUUUUCUUUUUUCUUUUUAUUGCAUUUAUCUCUUAUUGUUGGUUAGAGUCUCAAACCUAAGGGAACCAAAGUUUGACUACGUCAUGACCAAGACUAGUUUAGUAUUAUAUAAGUCAAUAGAAAGUAUAAUUGGAACAACUUUUUGGGAGAUGAACAUUCAAACAUGGAGUGUUCCUAGUGUCCUCAAUAUUCAAACAUUCCCUAUAGGACAUUCAAAUGUAGGUUAAUUUUAUGUUAUUUUCAUUUUGCAUUUCAUAGUUUUUGGAGGUAAUAAUUGCUCUUCAAAUCUUAACACUAGGUUUUUAGUAUAAAUACUAAGUUUCUUAAUCGUUCAACAACAUUCUUUAAAUACCUUCUUGCAAAGUAGAAGUUUAAGAAUUUGAUUCACUAAAGAAUCAAUACUAUUUUUGAGGUAGUCUAUUAAUGAAUUAUGAGGGAGUGUUAUGUUGGUGAUCUAAAAGAAGAGAGUAGGUGUUAAUGAUAUAAAAUCCUACUGAGUAGCAACAUCUACUUAGGUAAACCUAUGUAUCUUCUUCCCAUAUUUAAUGAAUUAUUUAUGGUCGAUAGACCAUCCAUUGGUUUUUAGACCUAAGGAUUUUUAGGUAGUUUGUUAACAUAAAUCUUAUAUUCAUUAUCUAAUUGAUUUUUGUUGUGCAUGGGAUUAAUCUAUUUUUACUAUUGAGGUAUCUAUGAUGACAAAUAAAAAAUCAAGUUAUAGAUUAUAACUUUAGAGAUCUCUUACUUAAACCACCUAUUUACCUUCUCUAGAGAAUUCUAUAUGUUAAGACAAGUUCUUUCAACUAAUAACAAAUACUACAUAAGUUUUACCCACUAUUAGUUUUCUUCAUGCAUUUUGACAAAUUUAUUAGUGUGUAAAUCCAAUAUGAUGUAAAAUAAUAUGAAUCAACGAUGAAUUAAAUUAGAAAAUCUCCAAAUCAUUAAAUUACUUAUCUAUUAUAACUUUGAAUUAUACAUACACAAAUUAAAAUAAUUUUUUAGAAAAAAAAAUUGCAAGUUUUACAAACAAUUGACUGGUAUAAUUUCCAAUUUAAUUAUAAAUAACAUUGAAAUGAAUAAUUCAAUAAAUUUUUACUACAAUUAGACAUUAGUUUAUUAAGUUCAAUAGAAUAAUAUGUUUGUAUUAUUAGUUAAACUGUAAGUCAAAAUUAUUUUGAAUUACCAUUGAAAUUAAAUAUGUAAAAUUCAUACCUAUUUCCAACUUCGCUCAUACCAUGAAUUUUCUCCCCAUGUGAGGCUACAUUAAAAAAGAAUUCAAAUGUAAACUUGUUAACUUUGUAGGGUCAUUAAAAAAUUGAUAACCAAGAACGAAAUACAAAAUCACAAAGAAGAAAACAACUUUGUCAUUUAAGGAAAAAAGGAAAAGGAAAAAAGAAAGAGAAAAUGGCAAGUUAACAAUUGACGUCAAAAAAAUAAAAAAAUAAAAAUGGUAUGGAUGUCAUACAUUACCAAAUCAUGCUUUGAUAUGUUAGGAUCUUUGGUUCAUUUUAACUGCAAUCUUAAAUAAAUUCAUAUUUCUAUUACUACCCAUGAUAAAAAAUAAUUUUGUAGGUUCAUUUUUUAAAACAUAAAAGGGUCCAGGAACAAUUUAAAUUGCAUAACACAAGGGAAAAUAUUCUAAGUAAUGUAUAUAAUUUAAGAUAUUUGACUACAUCUUUUAGGAAAAGAAAAUUCUAAUGGCUUAGCAUCUAAGAAAAUUGCAAGUAGUAUUUUACAACUUUAUGAUAAAUAUAUAUAUAUAUAUAUAUAUAUAUAUAUAUAUAUAUAUAUAUAAUUCAAUUACUAAAUAUUUCAAUUUCAGUUAAAAAUGCAACGUUAAAAUUUAAAAUGUGUUCAAAUUCUUAAAGUUGAUUGUUACACUCAUCCUAUAACCUAAAUUCAUAAAGUUUUUUACAUUAUUUAGUAAUUUAACUAUUGUGCACCUUAUUUUAAAAUGGAAAAAAAAAAUCAUUUAGGUGCAAGAGUGUUCUUGAGAUUUAGUAAAAUAAUAAGUUACUCAUACAUAAUACAACCUAUGAAAGUAAAGUAAUUUUAGUUUCUUAAGAUACCUCAAAUUAAAUGACGGAUCCCUACUUGAAAUUGAGAGUUCGUUUAAUGAAAUGCUAAAAAUACAAACUUCCACAUGGAGUCAAUUUCUAGUGAAAAUCUCCUUGAAAAUUGUUCUAUUAGAUUGUUGGAUGAUAAUGUAUUGUUUCUCUAUAAAGCAAAAGGUCCUUCACGCAAUCUAUUAUUGAGAUUUCUUCUCACCAUCUACCUAUUGAUCAUGAGGAAUACCCUCUUUGUUAGGAAACCAACUUAUAAACCAUUAAUGAUAACUAAUAUAAGUUCUAAGCAAGUUUAUUAUAUGAAAACACAUAAAAAAAAGGGGUCCAUAAUGGUACUCAUUCUAUUUUGGAAAAGUAAAAUGGAUUGCAUAAAAUAGAAGGUAUAGAUGAAUAUCGAUGAUGAUGCAAAGGAAAUAACAAUAGCAUAGGUUGUGAACACAACAAAGAGUGAUUGAUGAGGAUAUGACAAUGAGUUUAUCAUCCAAACUUUAAAAGUAAAGAAAUAGACUUUAAUACUUCCAAUAAUAUUUGUUCAUUGACCUAGUGUAGCAAUGUUUAUCAUACUUGAAUAUAUAUACUAAGAAAAUAUUGGAUAUUGACACAUAUAGUUAUAAGAAGCUAAUAAUAAUAAAAACAAUGGUUCUCCAAUUAAAAAUUUAUGCAUUUAGUAUAGAGCUAAAACUUGUUAAAUUGUAUAGGAUACAAUGUUUAUAUAUGAAAUAUAUAAUUUGUAGUAAUACAACUAAUGUCAAAUUUAAGACUAAAUUGAAGACCACCAUAAAUUUGUCUAUUAGGUUUUUUUUUAUUAUGAAGAAUACACAAUAUUAGAAGCAUCUAUUAACAAACUUGAUAAAAAAAAUUCAUGGUGGACAAAAACUAUUGAUCUUAGAAAACAUAUAUUUCAAUUAUUUUUAGGAAAAAUUAUUAUUAUUAUUAUUAUUAUUAUUAUUAUUAUUAUUAUUAUAUCAAAAUUAAGAACUAAGGUGAUGUUUGGUGGAAUUGAAAUCCCAAAGUGAAACAUGUUUUGGUAUCAUAUGAAAUUUUAGAGCUAAAAUAUACUAUAAAUUUAAAAUUUAAUCAUCUUUAUUCUUUUAUCUUACAAUUAUGCUUUAGAACUCUUAUUAAAACCUUAUUGAUAUGAUAAUAGAUGUAUAGAUAUGUUCUAGCUAGGCAUAGAAGAUCGUAUAGAAAAAUCUAAUGAGAUAAUCCACUAUGUUUAAAUUUUUCUACAACCUACAAUUUUUUGAACUUCAAUUAUGAAAUACUACUAGUUAUGUCUCAUUAUAAUGAUUAUUUUAAUGUUUAUAACCUCUAGUCAAUUGCCCAACUUUUUAUGUGUUCCUUUUACCUCAUAUGCCCUUUGAUAUUGAUCAUGCAUGUGUUAUAACUCUCAUCCCUCUUGUCCUUGUGAAUUUCUCAUAAGCACCAUCCCUUUUGCACAAUGGAUUUAGAAGUUUUCCAAAGACAUAAUUAUUUCUUAGCUAUUUUUAUCUUCGUCCAAUAUCAAUGUUCAUUUCUCUUGAAAUAUGUUUUUUUCAAACCAUGUAUAGGUUAUAUCUAAUAGUGAAAUCUGAAAAAAUGUUUUGAUUAAAAUAAAAUCUAUCAAUUCUUGGGACUUAUUGUUCACAAAACCCUUAUUGAACUGAAUGUUCUAAAAAGAUUGUACUUUGGGAUGGAUGACAAUAAAGUUGAAUUGAGGUGUCGACCAAUUCUCCUUUGCAUCAUUUUAAGAACAAUUUCAAAACUCAAUUUAAAAAACUCUCUAUCAAAAUGUUUAAUAAAGCUCAAAUGUUGGAGCUUUAAAACACUUGGUGUAGAAUGUAGUAUAAAUUUAUAAUUUUGUUUGAGUGAAAUUUCUUUUUAAUAGGCACUUUUGAUUAAUUAAAACAAUUGUAAGAAAUAUCUAUGAGAUAAUCUUAUACUUUUCCAAAUCAUUUUUGGAAAAGAUAAUCUUAUACUUUUUACAAUGAUUUUUUAUCCUUAUCAAUUUUUUGAAGAAAUAUAAACCUAUGGUAUUUACAAUUUAGUAGCUUUAGGAAUUACAAACAUAUAUUUUUCACAUCUACUUGCACAUAAUAAAUGUAAAAAGCCACACACUUUGAACAAGUUUAGUAACCAAGAUAUUUCAGUUAAGGCAAAUUAGAGCCAAAGAUAACAAAAAAAAAAAAAUAUUAAACUCAACAAACUCUUUUUAGCAACAUUUAGCAAAUAUUUCUUACCCUGUUUCAAUAGCUAAGAUUUUCUCUUUCUAUCCCCCUUAAUUAAAAUUAUCAUUUUGUUUUAACAUCACAUUCUUUUUCCUUAGGAUGUACAACUAUUAGCAUCUAUUCUAUUUCUUUCUAAGCCAAUUAGAAAAAGGAUAACCCCAAUUAAUUGAGAAUGGAAAGGAGACAAAUAACAUAUAGUGGAUCAAUUUCAAAGUGAUAGCUUAUAGUUAUGUAAUAGAAGUGAGAAGAGGAGAAAAAAAUGAAAUUGUACUGUAAUUAUGCAUAAAUUUCUAACUUCAUUCAACAUAAUUUUCUAAAGAAAUGAUAUAUAUGGAAUCUCAUGUUAAGAUUAAAAAUCAACAACAAUAGAGGUUGGAAAUAGUAAAAGACAUACUCAUAAAUCUAGAAAUUUUUAUAUUUUACCUCAAACUGAAUUAUCAAAUAAAAACCCUUGAUGUAAAGUUGAAUCCUACCAUUUCUUGCUUGAAAAAAACCAAUGAUCUUUCAUCAUAGCACAAGUCCACACUAGUGUAGGGUUGUGUGGGCAAAAGAACAAGAGAGGAAGAGAACAUAUGGU